GACGAACCGUGCGAACGUUGUUCGGAAUCACUGGGCUUAAAGGGCGCGUAGGCGGCGGGGUAAGUCGGGUGUGAAAUCUCAGAAGCUCCAACUCUGGAAACUGCACUCGAUACUGCUCUGCUUGAGGACUGGAGAGGAGACUGGAAUUCACGGUGUAGCAGUGAAAUGCGUAGAUAUCGUGAGGAAGACCAGUGGCGAAGGCGGGUCUCUGGACAGUUCCUGACGCUGAGGAGCGAAAGUGU
rnacentral:rRNA from 1 species